UUUAGGAGUGGUAUCACCCUCAAACACAAGGCAGCUCUACAGCAAGAGUCUUGAGAUAUGUUGCAAUGGCCCCUUGGUUCAGGCCAGGCUGUAAAAAGCUGAGGGCCUUUGUGAGUCCAUUUCAGUGAAAAGCCUGGAUGCAAAUCCCAAGCUCUUGCACCUCCUGGCCCUGAAUAAGUGUUCUGGCAGCUCCACACACAGGUGGGGACAAUACCCAGGGCUGGAGAAAGAAGGGUUGAAAUGCUCUGCUGAGCACAGGAAAGAAGAAUGAAUCCACAAUGCUUUCCUACUGAGGGCCAGCAUGUGCCUCUGGUUCUGCAGGGGCAUCUGUCAUUCUUGCCCAUGACUUAGCCUGGGAGCCAGAUAACAGCAUUGAAACCUGCUGCAAGUAUCUCCUGUGGCAGGGGCCUGGAGUCAGCCCUCUACCUUUCUGGGUAAAAUCAAGCAUAACAGAUCUGGGUAGUAUUUGGCACAGUGCUCUGGGAGACCCUGGUGCUGAGACACUGAGAAAAAGGGGCCAAAUGCUGAUCUCUGAUAUGGAUGUGGAGGAGCACUCUGCCUUGUCUUUUGUUAGCGGUACAAGAGCAAGCUCUUAUUUUGGAAGAAGCGCUAAUGCCUAAUUUCCUGACAGCUGAUGACAAUUUGUCCUUCUGAGAUAAGUACCAGGUCCUACAAAUAAUACCUCCCACCCCCGCUGAGCACACAGGGCCUAUUCGUGGGUGCUUAGAGCUCUCCCCCUUGCUUCCAGGGCCUCCGUGUUUCCGGAUCUUAGGCCCUAAAAAUACGCCUCCCCUCUUGCCUGAAUAAGGCAGGCGUUGCGUCUCCUCCUCGGCCCUCAGGAUGCAGUCGAAGCUGCCUUGCCUCCUCGCCCGUGGCUGCAAGCGCUUUCGUGGCUCUCCUCGCUAAGGGGGCCCUCUCUUGGCCCCCCCGUCCCCACCUUGCCUCUCGUCUGGGG